rnacentral:rRNA from 1 species
AUUGAACGCUGGCGGAAUGCUUUACACAUGCAAGUCGAACGGCAGCACGGACUUCGGUCUGGUGGCGAGUGGCGAACGGGUGAGUAAUGUAUCGGAACGUGCCCAGUCGUGGGGGAUAACGUAGUGAAAAUUACGCUAAUACCGCAUACGAUCUAUGGAUGAAAGCGGGGGAUCGCAAGACCUCGCGCGAUUGGAGCGGCCGAUAUCAGAUUAGGUAGUUGGUGGGGUAAAGGCCCACCAAGCCAACGAUCUGUAGCUGGUCUGAGAGGACGACCGGCAACACUGGAACUGAGACACGGGACAGACUCCUACGGGGGGCAGCAGUGGGGAAUUUUGGACAAUGGGCGAAAGCCUGAUCCAGCCAUUCCGCGUGCAGGAUGAAGGCCCUCGGGUUGUAAACUGCUUUUGUACAGAACGAAAAGGUUUCUACUAAUACUAGGAGCUCAUGACGGUACUGUAAGAAUAAGCACCGGCUAACUACGUGCCAGCAGCCGCAGUAA